AAUUAAACCUGAUGGCAGUGAAAAGCCCGCAGUGCAACGAGGACUUGUAACGAACAGCAGGGCUAACG
rnacentral:misc_RNA from 1 species